UGGCUUUGCUCUCUCAGGGUUCCAUCUGCGACAGGGGCUACUUGUGCCUGUGGCCUCAUCAUCUCAGGCUGAAGACGGCCCUGGUCCUCACCAGAGGGACUUUGUGAAGCAGAAAUAGAUGGCCUGGUGCAGGGGCCGAGCCUGGCCAGGACCUCGGCCCUGGGAGUUGUAAAGAAGGCCGGCCUCUACCAUGAGCAUCUUCACCAAGCUGUGCCCAUGUCACAGUGUGCUCGGUGUCUGCCCUUGUACAGGCCAGCUGCGGGCCGUCCAGUGGCUGUGCUACUUCUACAGCGUUGUCAUGCCCAGCGAGGCCCAGUGUGUCCUCUACCACGAGUUCCAGCUUCCUCUGGCCCACAAGGUGACCGACAAGGGCCUACAGAUCCACUCUGGACUACACCAAACAAAGUCUAGGGAUUCUCAUUGAUCUCCAGAAGAAAGAAGAGGCGCAUGCCUGUCUGCAAGCAGGGAAGAUCUACUACAUCCUGCGGCAGAGCAAGCUGGUGGACCUGUUCAUCCAGAGGCUUUCCCAAACACAGUGUGAUCUGGAACAAAUUGCGAAGCCCACGAGCCUGGUGAAGCUUUCAUUACUGAGCACCUGCUGUAUACGUCCUUGAGCUGAGGAGAAGGAUCAACAGCUCAUGGCCAAGAGGGGACCAAGCCCACCCACAAACACUGUUGAUCUGUGGCCCUGAACUGCGGCAGGGAUGUGGCAACGCAGAAAGGAACCAGGUGGCACAGAAUGUGGUCCUGUACACAGGUGACUCCAACCUGGGGCUGGAGCCGUUUGAGGCAGCUGGAGACAUCUUCAACGAGGCCUGGGAGCGGGAGAAAUCCGUGUCCUUCUACCGGGACCCGACCCUGCCCCUGGCAGUGACUACGGGCAACUGCAAGGCGGAGCCGCAGCUGUGCAACAAGCUGGUGGCACUGCUGGCCACGCUGGAGGAGCCCCAGGAGGGCUUGGAGGUUGCCCACAUGGCCCUAGCACUCAGCAUCACUCUGGGUAAGUCCCCUGAGCCCCUGUCCUGCCAGGAUCCACACUUUGCCAGAGCCCAGCCUCCAGGUCUGUAGGGCAGUAGCUGAAACAGCUGCUGGAUUGUCCUGGUCUCCUGUCCAGGCAGGCAGAUCUGCCCAGCUGGCUCCCCCGUCCAGCCGUGCGGCACAGCACGAGGUCUCUCACGCAGUGCUGAGCUCUGCUUCCUGUCUCUUCCCGCUGCUGACCACAAGGGCCACCCAGUGUGCCCUCUGCCUUCCAGACAUGCCAGGCAUCUCGGUCCGUGUAUGUGCCAGGCUGAGUGGCACAUUCCCUUUGUCUUGUGCUCUUCCCACCGUCAUCAACCACACAGCUCUCUGGCUGAUGAAAUCCCAGUUCCCCGUCCAGCAGCCUGCCCCUUAAGGCCGGGCAUCCCCUGGUGCUGUGCCAGGAUCAUCUGUCCUCCUCCAGAGACAGGAAACCCUGGGUGGGCCGCAUGCCCCAGAGCCUUGUGCCUUGCGGCGCAGUACACAGUAGGUGUGCAGCUGUGUGGGAAUGCAUUGAAUGCAGGCUCCACAGCACUCGCCCUGAAAAAGGGAGGACAUCAGAGACAGCCUGGGUGGGUUUGUGCAUCAGUGGGGGGACCUGGAGCUCAGGCAUGCGGUGACUCCCCAAGGU